UGGCGGUUAGCUCAGUUGGUAGAGCAUCGGAUUUUGAUUCCGAGGGUCACAGGUUCGAGCCCUGUAUCGCCUGCCA
rnacentral:tRNA from 5 species